rnacentral:rRNA from 1 species
CCUACGGGAGACAGCAGUGGGGAAUAUUGCACAAUGGGGGAAACCCUGAUGCAGCGACGCCGCGUGAGUGAAGAAGUAUCUCGGUACGUAAAGCUCUAUCAGCAGGGAAGAAAAUGACGGUACCUGACUAAUACGCCCCGUCUCACUACGUGCCAGCCGCCGCGGUGAUACGUAGGGGGCAAGCGUUAUCCGGAUUUACUGGGUGUAAAGGGAGCGUAGACGGCAGAACAAGUCUGGAGUGAAAUCCCGGGGCCUAACCCCGGAACUGCUUUGGAAACUGUUCGGCUGGAGUGCAGGAGGGGUAAGCGGAAUUCCUAGUGUAGCGGUGAAAUGCGUAGAUAUUAGGAGGAACACCGGUGGCGAAGGCGGCUUACUGGACUGUAACUGACGUUGAGGCUCGAAAGCGUGGGGAGCAAACAGGAUUAGAUACCCGUGUAGUC